GACAGGACGGGACGGGACAAAACCAAGAACUAGGCGGGACUUCGCGGCCGCCGCCCGGCCCGGGCUCGGGAGGAAUCGAAACCGAAGAUUGGCAGUCAGCUGCUGAUCAAGGCUGGUUGCAGCAGCGGGUGUCCUGGCAGGGGGUGUGAAGGAGAGAAGUGACCAGUUCCUGUUAAUGCGUGGAGAGAGAAAUCUGAACUGUAUGGUCAGAGGAGCUUUACUGGAUACUUUGUUGAAACAGCGUGGAGCAGAAAAGUAAAGUGAAAUGCUGCAAGCAGAAAGAAGCUGUGAAUACAACCUUGGCAAGUGUGUUCUAUUCUACAAGUAAAUACACUCAAGAAGGUUUUUGGAUCAAUCCCGAGUGAAAGCAAACAAAGAAAUGUUACUGGAUUUAUUCUGUUUGUUGGUAUAACGUUUUGCAAAUAAAAAUGCCCCAAACA